UACGUAGGGUGCGAGCGUUGUCCGGAAUUAUUGGGCGUAAAGAGCUUGUAGGCGGUUUGUCGAGUCUGCUGUGAAAAUCCGGGGCUCAACCCCGGACUUGCAGUGGGUACAGGCAGACUAGAGUGUGGUAGGGGAGACUGGAAUUCCUGGUGUAGCGGUGAAAUGCGCAGAUAUCAGGAGGAACACCGAUGGCGAGGGCAGGUCUCUGGGCCACUACUGACGCUGAGAAGCGAAAGCAUGGGGAGCGAACAGG
rnacentral:rRNA from 1 species